rnacentral:rRNA from 1 species
CAUUACUGAGUUUACGCUCUAUAACCCUUUGUGAACAUACCUAUAACUGUUGCUUCGGCGGGUAGGGUCUCCGCGACCCUCCCGGCCUCCCGCCUCCGGGCGGGUCGGCGCCCGCCGGAGGAUAACCAAACUCUGAUUUAACGACGUUUCUUCUGAGUGGUACAAGCAAAUAAUCAAAACUUUUAACAACGGAUCUCUUGGUUCUGGCAUCGAUGAAGAACGCAGCGAAAUGCGAUAAGUAAUGUGAAUUGCAGAAUUCAGUGAAUCAUCGAAUCUUUGAACGCACAUUGCGCCCGCCAGCAUUCUGGCGGGCAUGCCUGUUCGAGCGUCAUUUCAACCCUCAAGCUCUGCUUGGUGUUGGGGCCCUACAGCUGAUGUAGGCCCUCAAAGGUAGUGGCGGACCCUCCCGGAGCCUCCUUUGCGUAGUAACUUUACGUCUCGCACUGGGAUCCGGAGGGACUCUUGCCGUAAAACCCCCCAAUUUUCCAAAGGUUGACCUCGGAUCAGGUAGGAAUACCCGCUGAACUUAAGCAUAUCA